GACGAACGCUGGCGGCGUGCUUAACACAUGCAAGUCGAACGAUGAAAGAGGAGCUUGCUCCUCUGGAUUAGUGGCGAACGGGUGAGUAACACGUGAGCAAUCUGCCCCUGACUCCGGAAUAACUACGGGAAACUGUAGCUAAUACCGGAUAUGCGCCGAACAGGCAUCUGUAUCGGUGGGAAAGAAUUUCGGUCAGGGAUGAGCUCGCGGCCUAUCAGCUUGUUGGUGAGGUAACGGCUCACCAAGGCGACGACGGGUAGCCGGCCUGAGAGGGUGACCGGCUACGUGGGACUGGGACGGAGACACGGCCCCGACUGGGAGGGGAGGGAGGGGUGGGGAAGACAGGGCACGGGGGGAAAGCCUGACACCGCGGGGGGGGGGGAGUGAUCAAGGGGUUAGGAUCGCAAUUUUCGGGGAGAAGAGGCGAAAAUGACAGUACCGGGAGAAAAAGCGCCGGCUAACUCCGUG
rnacentral:rRNA from 1 species